rnacentral:rRNA from 1 species
GUUUAUGGUAAUACCACCUUGAGCAUCUGCUCUCAGACACUAAGCAGGGUUGGGCCUGAUUAGUAAUGGGUGGGAGGAAAAUGUCUUUCUAUAAUAUAUUCACCAUUUGAAAAUCACAAGAAUCACAAGAA